rnacentral:rRNA from 1 species
AUACGUAGGGGGCGAGCGUUGUCCGGAAUGACUGGGCGUAAAGGGCGUGUAGGCGGCCGAUUAAGUCUGGAGUGAAAGUCCUGCUUUCAAGGUGGGAAUUGCUUUGGAGACUGGUUGGCUUGAGUGCGGAAGAGGUAAGUGGAAUUCCCAGUGUAGCGGUGAAAUGCGUAGAGAUUGGGAGGAACACCAGUGGCGAAGGCGACUUACUGGGCCGUAACUGACGCUGAGGCGCGAAAGCGUGGGGAGCGAACAGGAUUAGAUACCCUGGUAGUCCACGCUGUAAACGAUGAAUGCUAGGGGUAGGGGGUAUCGACCCCUCCUGUGCCGGAGUAAACGCAAUAAGCAUUCCGCCUGGGGAGUACGGCCGCAAGGUUGAAACUCAAAGGAAUUGACGGGG